GUCUAAACAACUUACAUAGCAUGUAACAACACUCUCUCUAUAUUUGGUCCCUCUUUCCCCUUUCAUGACGUGUACCUUUCUUCCCUUUACCUCAGAAACGUAACUUUCUUCCCUAAUUGGAGCCGAUGAUGGGUCUGGUUCCUCAGGCACAGUGUUUUAACAAGCUGUUCUCUGCAAUUUCCGUACAACCGAUGAUGAAAUUGAUUGCGUAGGAGAAGGUUUGGUAGAAGGGGCUCCUGUUUUCCUCUGCGAUGACCUAAAUUCCUCCGAUGAUGAAGUAAGGGUUGAAGGAGCACAGUGUUUCAUCAGUACUGCCCCUGAUGUCAUGGACUGCGUUGGAGGAGGUUUGGUAGAAGGGGAAGAGUGUGGGUUUCAGUUUGAAGAGCAGUUGGUGAAGAGCUCAGUUCUUGAUUGUUUUGAUGUCAGUUUAGUACAAGAGAGCCAGGAGCUCCAUCACUUUUUAAUUGUGUAGUUGAAAUUGGUAAAGGCUGCAAGGUUAAGUCUUAGCUGGACAAGGCAAGUGGACUUAUAAGACUGAGGCCUGAGAGAUGCUUUACUAGCUGAUAUCUUUGAUUUGCUUGAAGCUUUGGAUAAGUCUUGCUGUGUUUUCAAGCAAAGCUGGUGUUUUACAAACCAAUUCAACCGAGGUUGAGGUCAUAAAUACUUAUAAAAUUAAAUAAGGUAAAUCCUUCAAAACUCUACGCAAUUGAUAGAUACAGUGGUUGAAUCAUGAUUAGGAAGGAUGCAAUGCCUCAAACAUUAUGGUUUAUUUUCCAUGGUAUUAUGGAAACAAGUGACAAAACAAGCUACUAAAAUGUAAUGAGGUCUGAAUGUAAAUAUACUCGUGUUCUAUCAUUAAUAGCAAAUUUUACUCGCUAAAAAAAUAUAUUGAGUAGGAGCCUGUGAAUUCCCUCCGCAGCUUUAGUUGAUUGGGUACGUUUUUGUUAUUUGUACAAGCUGAUCUGAAUUAUUUUUCUUACAAAUAAGCUUGAAGACCAUCUCAAGAGUACACAUCUGAAGGAUAUCUUUUCCUUUUCUGGUACAUGUUUCUAUCUAAAUUUAAAUUGUAACUUGCAUUAGAAUGGAGAAUUUGUCUCUGUUAUUGCAGACAUGAUUUUGGAAUCAUUCAAAUGUGUAUGAUCUGUACCUUAGCUAAAAAAUUGAGCCUUAAUUGAGAAUGGCAAUGCUAACAACUUAGCAUGUCAGCUUUAUUGAUAUUGGUCAAGGGAUGUGGAGCAUAUGUAUUUAAUUCAAGGAUAUAGAACUAGCACUAUAUUUAAGCAGCACUACACCAAAAAUGUGAAGGAGUAUAGUUGUUUACCAAAUUAAUUCAUGUUUGAUCUGUAGCUAGCUAAUUAAAAUUAUAAUGAUCUUUGCCUUUGAUGUUAGAACUGUGACUUAAGAGACUAUGGACAUAGCCUCUAAUCAGGAAGUUAUUGCAUUUAACUAAGGUGGUGCCUAAUCGAGGUCAUUCUCUAUGAUUUCUAAAACAAAAGUAUGUUUUAAUCAAGUUAGAUGAGAGUUCAUCUCUUUUUUUUUUCAUGUUCAGGUAUCAAGUUAUCUCUCAUUAAGUGAGGGAGAUGACAUUUCAUGGGCUCUAAUCUCGAAGGUACUAGCUUGUGAGCACUUCUAACCCUUUGAAGGGUUGUCUAGACUUUUAGUUUACAUUUGAGAUAGAAAAUAAAGUAGUGGAAGAAGAGAGGGUAAAGCUUAGUAAAGGAAAGGUCUUUCCCCUUCAUAAUAAGCUUGAGGUGGCUCGCGUUUGGCUGUGCAACUCUGAUUUCCCAGGAAUGGCACGAGCUUUUAGAGAUUUUUCCUUAAGGACUAUGAACUCAUUGCUGUUCCAGAUUUCUCAUAUCACCACCUUACUGAAAAGGAUGAAUUUCUUGUGUUAGUAACAGAUGAGAGGGAAACCUUCUACGUGAAACUUGGGCCCCUAAAACAGCAAACCAGUAAAGAACUUGAGCAACUUGAAGUCAAGCUCACUGGAUUUUCAGACUGUUCUUGAUUCCUGCAUUUUUAAUGGCACCCUUGAUCUGUUAGGAGGAUAAUUCUAUGUUGGAUAAAUCUAGAUAAAGAAUUCCAUGUUUAAUCGUAUUGUCCAUCAGUUAGGAGUACCACUAAUUUGGGUGAGAAUAGUCCAUCAUAUUAUCCUUUGUAGCUUUCAAGGGUUUGUAUUCUCAUUGCAAGCAUGUCUAAUGUUUAUGUCUAUUUCCACAAACAAAUUUUCCUGGUGCACAUGGUUUUGGUUGAAGGAUGGAAGGGAUUUUCAAUCCAAAUACACCUCAACCUAUGAGAUAUAAGAAGAGUAGAGAAAAAAGAGAUAUAUAAUAAAUUAUUUUGUAAAGAGAAAUAAAAAGAGAAGUGAUUGAAAAUGAUAUCUUCCUUGCCCUUUGUCUUGGUUUUUAGAGACACUUAAUUGACACUUAGUUUUUAUUCUUUAUUGAUCAGAGGUAUAUAUAUUGUUUUAAAGUGUAUGUAUGAGAUAUGAUUUGAGAACAAGCUUCAGCCCGUCAAAUUAUCAACAAAAAAAAAGUGUAUGUAUGAGAUAUGAUUUGAAAAAAAAGAUAUAUGGUAAUCAAUUUUUUGUGGAUUGGGCCAUGGAUUUUUUUUAAGGCUCGAUUAGUUUUGUAUGUCCCUUAAUAUUCAUUUGGUUUGUUUAAUUAAAUAUAAAGUGGUAUAAAAAUUAGAGUUUUCUUAUAAUAUUGGGUAUGUAACUAAAGUACUAAACCCUAAAGUAAGUAUGAUUUCGUUAUAAUAUCGGGCCGAAGCCUUUUUUUUUUGCAAACAAGCUGUAAAAGCAAAAGAGGUAGAGCAAAAAGACAUUGAGAAUGUUGCCUCACAUGAAAAAGGUAGAAGUCUCAGUUUCAGAUUCAAA